UACGGAGGGUGCGAGCGUUAAUCGGAAUUACUGGGCGUAAAGCGUGCGCAGGCGGCGCGUUGAGACAGUUGUGAAAGCCCCGAGCUUAACUUGGGAAUUGCGCUUGUGACUGGCGUGCUGGAGUGUGGCAGAGGGAGGUGGAAUUCCACGUGUAGCAGUGAAAUGCGUAGAGAUGUGGAGGAACACCGAUGGCGAAGGCAGCCUCCUGGGCCAGCACUGACGCUCAUGCACGAAAGCGUGGGGAGCAAACAGG
rnacentral:rRNA from 1 species